rnacentral:rRNA from 1 species
CCCUUAGAUGUUCUGGGCCGCACGCGCGCUACACUGACGAUGGCAACGAGUUUUUCCUUCGCCGAAAGGUGUGGGUAAUCUUUUGAAACAUCGUCGUGCUGGGGAUAGAUCAUUGCAAUUUUUGAUCUUGACCGAGGAAUUCCUAGUAAGCGCGAGUCAUCAGCUCGCGUUGAUUACGUCCCUGCCCUUUGUACACACCGCCCGUCGCUACUACCGAUUGAAUGGUUUAGUGAGGACUCCUGAUUGGCGCCGCCGCCCCGGCAACGGAGCAGCGGACUGCCGAAAAGUUGUUCAAACUUGAUCAUUUAGAGGAAGUAAAAGUCGUAACA